UACGAAGGGGGCUAGCGUUGCUCGGAAUCACUGGGCGUAAAGGGUGCGUAGGCGGGUCUUUUAAGUCAGGGGUGAAAUCCUGGAGCUCAACUCCAGAACUGCCUUUGAUACUGAAGAUCUUGAGUUCGGGAGAGGGUGAGUGGAACUGCGAGUGUAGGAGGUGAAAUUCGUAGAUAUUCGGCAAGAACACCAGUGGCGAAGGCGGCUCACUGGCCCGGUACUGACGCUGAGGUGGACGAAGCGGAGGGAGCAAACAGGG
rnacentral:rRNA from 1 species